rnacentral:rRNA from 2 species
UGGGGGAUAUUGCACAAUGGGCGCAAGCCUGAUGCAGCGACGCCGCGUGAAGGAUGAAGGCCCUCGGGUUGUAAACUUCUGUUGGAUGGGAAAAAAAGCCGCAAGGUCUUGAUGGUACCAUUCGAGUAAGCACCGGCUAACUACGUGCCAGCAGCCGCGGUAAUACGUAGGGUGCAAGCGUUGUUCGGAAUCACUGGGCGUAAAGAGAGCGUAGGCGGGAUUGUAAGUUAGGAGUUUAAUGCAUGGGCUUAACCCAUGAUCUGCUUUUAAUACUGCAGUUCUUGAGUAUGGGAGAGGGUGAUGGAAUUCCAGGUGUAGCGGUGGAAUGCGUAGAUAUCUGGAAGAACACCAGUAGCGAAGGCGGUCGCCUGGCCCAAUACUGACGCUGAGGCUCGAAAGCUAGGGGAGCAAACAGG